AUUGAACGCUGGCGGCAGGCCUAACACAUGCAAGUCGAACGAGUGGCGGACGGGUGAGUAAUGUCUGGGAAACUGCCUGAUGGAGGGGGAUAACUACUGGAAACGGUAGCUAAUACCGCAUACCAUCAGAUGUGCCCAGAUGGGAUUAGCUUGUUGGUGGGGUAACGGCUCACCAAGGCGACGAUCCCUAGCCGACCUGAGAGGGUGAUCGGCCAAACUGGAACUGAGAAACGGUCCAGACCCCUACGGGAGGCAGCGGUGGGGAAUAUGGAACAAGGGGGGCAAGCCGGAUGCAGCCAUGCGGGGUGUAUGAAGAAGGCCUUCGGGUUGUAAAGUACUUUCAGCGGGGAGACGUUACCCGCAGAAGAGCACCGGCUAACUCCGUGCCAGCAGCCGCGGUAAUAC
rnacentral:rRNA from 1 species